GGGGCCGACUAGCUCACAUCUCUUUUCUUCUCUCCCAUCUUCAACACACUUUCAAGUAAGAUGCUUACACUGCUUUGUAUUGUCCUACUCACGUCACAUGUCUUUUCUGCCGACCAAUCGUUGAAGUGCAACGAAAGAACCGAGUAUGCUGAAAACCAGCAGUGCUGCAAAAAAUGUAAACCAGGACAGUUCAUGUUUGAGAAAUGUGGAAUAAGCUCGCGAGAUACCCAAUGCAAGCCGUGUGGAAAUGGCUACUUCACGAAUGAAUAUAAUAUAAAAAAUAAUUAUUGCUCUCCUUGCACAAAAUGCACCAAAGAACAUAUGAAGUAUAAGAGGACCUGUAUGACAACAAGUGAUGCUGAGUGUACAUGUGAGGAUGGUUAUAGAUGCAGUGGCAACAAAUGCGAGACAUGUGUGAAAGUCCAGAAAACGACGCCCCCUACUAAAAUAC